rnacentral:rRNA from 1 species
UACGUAGGGAGCUAGCGUUGUCCGGAAUCAUUGGGCGUAAAGCGCGCGUAGGCGGCCCGGUAAGUCCGCUGUGAAAGUCAAAGGCUCAACCUUUGAAUGUCAGCGGAUACUGCCGGGCUAGAGUCCGGAAGAGGCGAGUGGAACUCCUGGUGUAGCGGUGGAAUGCGCAGAUAUCAGGAAGAACACCCGUGGCUAAGGCGGCUCUCUAGUACGGUACUGACGCUGAGACGCGAAAGCGUGGGGAGCGAACAGG